rnacentral:lncRNA from 1 species
UUCCAAUUGAACCAGAAUUCAAUUUUGAAUAUUGAUUUCAACUAUAAAUAUUACAUGUAAUCCCAUUAUUUCACCACCAAAAAAAAAAAACCAAUUAGAAGAUGUAGGUUCAAAAACCAAUUCAAAAUCAAUUGAACUACUAGCAAUAGAAGGUAAGCAGAGGUAGAAAUGACAGUAGGAAAUAUGAUUUCGUCGAUGGAAGAGAGCUCUCGUGGCCAUUACAAUCUUAGUAGGAGAUAUGAUUCUCACAAUUACAAUGAAGGUCACUGUAGGAGAUGCAAAGUAAAAUUCAGAGUCGCAAGUGGGUAGAAGCAAGAGCCCAGGUGGAAGAAGGGAUUGCAGUGUUUGGAAAGGUAGAUUGAGCAAUAGAACAAGGAAAAUGAAGAGACAGAGUGUUCUUACAAGGUCACUGCUAGUGGGGCUGAUAAUAGAAAUGAAAAUGAUAUGAUGGUUACUAACAGAAUGGAGAUUAGCACUAUGCCCAUGAGCAUCACAGCACAUAUGGAGAUCACUAAUGUCUUAGCUUUUAUCAAUGGAGUAGGAGUUCAAAAUGCACUAAUUUUAUUUGGGGUAAUGCAUUUGGCAAAAGUAGAAUAGCUCGUUUGUUGUAAUGCGCAUAUGUAAUUGGUUGAUAUAGUUGUAACGUCUUUAUGAACUUUGUAUUAUUAAAUGAAUGAAUCAUAUUCUACCUUGGUUUGUUUCCUUUUUGUGGCUGAGUUGAUAGUUGGGCAAUAUUGUGUGUAAAUUAGAAGUUACUAAUG